UGGGGGAAUAUUGGACAAUGGGCGCAAGCCUGAUCCAGCCAUGCCGCGUGUGUGAAGAAGGCCUUAUGGUUGUAAGGCACUUUAAGCGAGGAGGAGGCUACUUUAGUUAAUACCUAGAGAUAGUGGACGUUACUCGCAGAAUAAGCACCGGCUAACUCUGUGCCAGCAGCCGCGGUAAUACAGAGGGUGCAAGCGUUAAUCGGAUUUACUGGGCGUAAAGCGCGCGUAGGCGGCUAAUUAAGUCAAUGUGAAUCCCGAGCUACUUGGAAUGCAUCGAUACUGGUUAGCUAGAGUGUGGGAGAGGAUGGUAGAAUUCCAGGUGUAGCGGUGAAAUGCGUAGAGAUCUGGAGGAA
rnacentral:rRNA from 1 species